rnacentral:rRNA from 1 species
UACGGAGGAUCCAAGCGUUAUCCGGAUUUAUUGGGUUUAAAGGGUGCGUAGGUGGCCUGUUAAGUCAGGGGUGAAAGACGGUAGCUCAACUAUCGCAGUGCCUUUGAUACUGACGGGCUUGAAUGAACUAGAGGUAGGCGGAAUGAGACAAGUAGCGGUGAAAUGCAUAGAUAUGUCUCAGAACACCGAUUGCGAAGGCAGCUUACUAUGGUUUUAUUGACGCUGAGGCACGAAAGCGUGGGGAUCAAACAGG